CAGGACAGAUGAGCUGAUUCCUCAUCGUCUCAACACCAUCAUAGACAGCGACAGGAUACCGAUGAGUGCAGAGUCUUCUGACCACAACUGAGGAUGACGGACUUUCUUCAACCACGUCUUCAUCGUCUUCUUCUGCUGAAUGAAUGCAGACGGUGUACCCAGAAGGGUCGGAGGGGGUCAUGCAGGAGAAAUGCAGGGGUUUUGCAGGGAUUUUUCACUAAAUAAACAAUAAACAAUAAACAAUAAACAAUAAACAAUAAACAAUAAACAAUAAACAAUAAACAAACAAAAAAAAAAAAAAAACGCAUUUUUGUGUUUCAUAACCUCUCCGUGCUAUGUCUCCGAAAGCCCAGGAGGAGACGCACGUCUCAUACUCCCUUCGGUACCUGACACUUACGCCCCCACUACCCCGGGGAUUCGAACUCUAGUUCUUGUGUAACCACACAACCAUCCAAACCGAAUGUUCCGCCACCAACCCAUCAAUGCCAAGCACACUUGGACUGUUCUCCUGGUAACUUUGUCUUCGUCAUUGUGGAAGUUAGAUCUCAAAACUCACAUUAUAAGGAUCGAACCCACAACCUCCAGUCUUCUAACCCAGCUUCUAUCACUCUGAGCUAUCGGUCUUAACACUCUUAUGUAUUGUUUUUGGUCUUAUUUGACUUCUUCAUUUAGGAUGUUGGACCUUAAAACUUACCAGUGCAAUACAUAAGGAUUGAACCCACAACCUUCAGUAUCCCAACCCAGUAUCCAUCACUCUGAGCUAUAUGACCUGAUACACUGGAGUAGUGUUUCUUUAUAUACUUGACCUAUUUUUUGUGUAAGUUAGACCUCAAAAGUCACUGCUCCUUAUAAGGAUCGAACCCACAACCUCCAGUCUUCUAACCCAGCUUCUAUCACUCUGAGCUAGCAGUCUUAACACUCUUAUGUAUUGUUUUUGGUCAUAUUUGACUUCUACAUUUAGGAUGUUGGUCCUUAAAACUUACCAGUGCAAUACAUAAGGAUUGAACCCACAACCUUCAGUAUCCCAACCCGGUAUCCAUCACUCUGAACUAUAUGACCUGAUACACUGGAAUAGUGUUUCUUUAUAUACUUGACCUAUUUUUUGUGUAAGUUAGACCUCAAAAGUCACUGCUCCUCAUAAGAAUCGAACCCAUAACCUCCAGUAUUCCAACUCAGCUUCUAUCACCCUGAGCUAUCUGUCAUAACACGAGUGAUGCAUUUCUUGGUGUGUUUGACUUCUUCAUUUAGGAUGUUGGCCCUUAAAAAUUACUGCACCUUAUAAGGAUUGAACCCACAACCUCCUGUUUUCAAACCAGUCUUCUAUCACACUGAGCUAUCUGCUCAGAUACACUUCAUCAUUAUUUCGUUGCAUCUUUGACUUCAUUUUGGAUGUUAGACCUCAAAAUUCAUUGAACCACAUAAGGAUCGAACCUAUAACCUCAGGUCUUAGGACCUGCUCACCUGAGGUUAUCGAGUAGCAGUCAUAUCAGUCCUUUAUCCCGGUGAGCUAUUCCUGAGUUGAACAUUUUUUUUUUCGUUCUCAUAUUUGUUGUUCACACUACCGCA